rnacentral:sRNA from 1 species
UUUAGCAAACGCAAACGACUCACAUUCGCCGUCACAUGAAUGGGGUGCCCGACGCGUCGGGUUCAUUCAUGGGGCGAAUGGCGGUUUAAC